GAAGAAGGUUGUACCAUGGUAGGAGAAGACAAAUUUAAUGUGGAGGCUGCUAUUCCAUUUGGCAGCCAUCUUAAGGUUCAGAGUAUUAUGGGAAGGAGGCUACUGUUGUAUGUAGCAGCCAUCUUGAGUCAAGGGAAAUGUAACUAUGAUUCUAUGAUGUCUCAAAGUAAUAGGCUUAUUUAAAAUAAAAUUGAAUUGUGAAACUGUGUUGGGGCACGAGGAAGACACAAUAUUCAUCCACUCCUGUGACCAAAAUAACAACAACUCCACAUUUCUCCUCCACUAUGUUCCUGGCAACCACCAUCUACUCUGCUUUCUGAGUUGAGCAAGGAUGGGAUACCUGCACAGGGGCUGUCACGGACCUUCACCUUCCACCUUCCUUCCACUGGAUGCAGCUAGAUGAGAAGAUUUUGGAUAGCAGUCCAUGUCUGUAUUAUGACAAAGUAUUGACUUUUCAGUUACUCACCAAUUUUUCAUGUGCAUGCAGCGGCAGUGAUUCUCAAGAGAGAGAAAAACUUAGCUGGUGUACUGCUGUGCUCAUCCCAGCCUGACUCUGGGCUACCAGAAGGAUGACUCCCCACCCUAAAACAUAAUCAUGUGAUACUUGAGCAGCUGGAAAAAAACAUGAGCAUGUACUUAUCCUAGACAAGUCUUAUAAUUUAUAAACCAAAAGCUAUCAUAAGAUAUAAGAUGGGGAUAUAAGAUGGAUUGGUAAUUCAAGUGAUUUAAACAAGUUCUUCAAAAUGGAACCAGUGCCUUCAUUAUCCUCAGCCUCUCAUGAUGUUGCACCUUCACAAGAUAACUGAGAAGACUGGCAAUGCUCUCAAGAGGCUAGGAUGAAGAAGACCAAAUGUUCUGUCAUGAAGAGCUUCAAGAUGUUACAUCCUACAAGAAGAAAAAUAUGGCUAAACUGAAAAUCAAGGACUUGUCUUGGACGUG